AGCGUCAAGGGGUAAGGAGAAGCUGGAAAGAAAAGAAGAGGCUGGACUUGGCCAACUUUCUAGGACAUGCGAUGGGUUUUAGAUUUUUGUCAUUGAUGUUUUUAGUGGUGGGGUUUGAAUCCAGAGCCUUGUACCUGUUAGGCAAGUGUUCCACACUGAGCUAUGCCCCUAGCCCAACUUGGUCAUUAUAAGUGAGGGUGGAGAUUACACGACCAGUUAUACUUUCAGAAAAAAUACCAAUGGGUGCAGCUUGGAGGCGAAGUUUGUGUGCCAGUGUGGUACAGGUGGCAUUAGGAGACCACCGCUAGUGUACAGGGAGGUGAUGGUGAAGUUUGGGAAUUUUUGGUUAAGAUGGUGAUGAUGGAGCUGGAGGUGAGAGAGGGGACUGGGAUAACUGAGACAGUGACACGAUGGCACUUUGGCAGCUUUGCAGAAGUGUAUGAAGAGGCGUUCCUGGGCUACUGGCUUGUGUUAACACUGGCAGGUGGCGAGAAAGGAGCGGGCUUGGGGGAUAGGUCCGCCAGUCUGGUCCUGGAGAGACUGGAUUUGAAAUAUUUCUGAGACAUCGCUGAGGCAAUUACCUUUCCCAUUGGACUUGGUGAGGUGCAGCUCACUGGUACUUCAUCAAGUUUUUAGCGCACGAGGAAGCAAGAAGCUGGUAAAGGGGCACCGUGACCCUUAUGGGCCGGAGAAGGUGUUCCUCAUCGCAGCGGUGGUGAUGCUUUCCCUGCUGCGUUCAUACGGUGGAACUCGUAAAAUCGUGCAUUCAACAGAUGUGCAGUUUGUCGUCCACCACUUACACCUCCCAAAGGUGCCAGGAAAGGCGAGCGGGAGUGAGGACACAAGGCCAGACGGGGAGCCUCCGGGAGGACACGGCGAUGGAAGGCAGAACAGAGUUCCAUUUAACGGGAAGCGUUUGCAUGCCUUAAGGUGUCCAGAGGAGAAGGAGCAAAUGUUCAUCCUCACCCUUCCUUUCCUUCCCACUCCCGGCCCCCCACUCCUUCACUGCUUGUUUCUUCACUCGGUCACUAUUUACCCACUUACCAUAGCAUCUAAUGAUGGGAAAGAAGAACUAGACCUGGACAGGAAUGAGCCUUGUGGGUGAGAAUGACAAGAAGGUGAGCUCUAAAGUAUUUCCCGGGUGCCACUGGACCAUACAUCUGGCUGCCCUGCAAGGCCCGUCGUGAAAUGUGUGACCACAGGGAGCCGAAAGGAGACCAUGAAGGGUCGCAGUAUAGUGGGGAAAGUCAAUUGAGUUUGCGUCCUUGCCCCGCGCUGCAGUGAGCCUGGUGGGCCGUUGCAGCCACCACUUGGGAACGUCUGGGGGUUCUGUGCCCCCAUCUUUAGCCAAAGCAACUCCAUUUCUGUUGUAUGCAAUGAAAUUCUCAACGUGGUUUAAUUUGGAGGGGAGCCCCUCUACCUCCGCUCCUCCCAGAGAAACCCCA
rnacentral:lncRNA from 1 species